rnacentral:rRNA from 1 species
UACGUAGGGGGCAAGCGUUAUCCGGAUUCACUGGGUGUAAAGGGAGCGUAGACGGCGACGCAAGUCUGGAGUGAAAGCCCGGGGCCCAACCCCGGGACUGCUCUGGAAACUGCGUCGCUGGAGUACGGGAGGGGCAGGCGGAAUUCCUGGUGUAGCGGUGAAAUGCGUAGAUAUCAGGAGGAACACCGGCGGCGAAGGCGGCCUGCUGGACCGUGACUGACGUCGAGGCUCGAGAGCGUGGGGAGCAAACAGG